rnacentral:rRNA from 1 species
UACGUAGGGGGCUAGCGUUGUCCGGAAUCAUUGGGCGUAAAGCGCGUGUAGGCGGCCCGGUAAGUCCGCUGUGAAAGUCGGGGGCUCAACCCUCGGAUGCCGGUGGAUACUGUCGGGCUAGAGUGCGGAAGAGGCGAGUGGAAUUCCUGGUGUAGCGGUGAAAUGCGCAGAUAUCAGGAGGAAUACCCAUAGCGAAGGCAGCUCGCUGGGACGUUACUGACGCUGAGGCGCGAAAGCGUGGGGAGCGAACAGG